UUUUUAAAUUGUCCGUUUAAUGCAUGUGUUUCUGUUUGUGAAUAAGGCAAACAUACUCCAGUAAUAGCCUAGAUUCGAUGGGACCUGUAGAUCGAACUGAGUGGGGAUCCCGGUGACAUAUUCAGUUCCUGUUUUAUGGAUAGGAACAUCAAGAGCAAGUUCAAGAUCAAAUGAAAACUUGGAAGCAUCCUUUUUAUGAUUUUGAGAAAUUGCUUUCUGUAAAGUAGGUUUAAGAUUUACGGUAAAAACCUUAUUAAAGAUUUUGUUAGCCCCAUGAUUUGUAAUUUUGUCAAAUGAUAUAUGAUUUAGUUUAAAUUUUAACAUAUUGCUAUGUUA